rnacentral:rRNA from 1 species
CCGGCGAAAGUCGGCUUCCGCAAGGACACUUGUCGAGGUGCUGCAUGGCUGUCGUCAGCUCGUGUCGUGAGAUGUUGGGUUAAGUCCCGCAACGAGCGCAACCCUUGUCCUCUGUUGCCAUCACGUUAUGGUGGGCACUCUGAGGAGACUGCCGGUGACAAACCGGAGGAAGGUGGGGAUGACGUCAAGUCCGCAUGGCCUUUAUGUCUGGGGCCACACACGUGCUACAAUGGCCGAUACAAACCGUCGCGAUACCGCAAGGUGGAGCUAAUCGGAGAAAAUCGGUCUCAGUUCGGAUUGCAGGCUGCAACUCGCCUGCAUGAAGUUGGAAUCGCUAGUAAUCGCGGAUCAGCACGCCGCGGUGAAUACGUUCCCGGGCCUUGUACACACCGCCCGUCACAUCACGAAAGCUGGCUGUACUAGAAGUCGCUGCGCUAACCCGCAAGGGAGGCAGGCGCCUAAGGUAUGGUUAGUGAUUGGGGUGAAGUCGUAACAAGGUAGGCGUAGUGCU